ACACCUGGCUCUACAACACCUGGCUCUACACCUCCGGUAUCUCCCUUCGCCGGUAAGGUUGCAAUAGUCAUCACUCUCUUAUGACUAGUCAUCAGUAGAGUACUGUUUUUCUGCUUUUGGUCGUGACCAAAUGUCCAUUUUGUCCUUGAUAACCGGCCUCCAAGAAGUAGGGAGGUAGCUUUUUUUACUGGGUCAAAACCCUACUCCAAAUAGUAGUAUAUCAAAGUUUGACAGAAAAAAUAGAUCAAAGGCUUUGUAUUAUACCCGUGCGGUACACUUUUUUAGUACUGCAUGUAAGUUAGUGAAUAGAUGAUACACUUUCUUAUCGAUGUGCAUAUUUUUUAAAAAUACUUAAAAAAAUACUGAAAAUAUAGACCGAAAAUAUCUAUAAUUUUCGAUUAAAAAACCUAUUUGGAAUCAUAAUUGGCUUGAAAUUAUGGGGAGAAGUCUGUAGAGGGGCCUUAGUCUAGAUCUAGAACAAUCUGUUAAGAGGACAUAUUGGUAAAUCCACAAACGGGGGUUCAUUUGUAUGGUAUAGUAGAAAACUAGUGAUAAGUUUUUGUUAAUUGAAGGGGUUAUUGUCAAUUAUGGCGACAAAUUUUGCCAUAUUAUGUGUAGUUCUAUGGAUGAGUGAUAUAUCACGUCAUGUGUAUUUACAUUAAAUAAAAAUGGUAACAAAAAUUUGUCAUUAAGGGGUUGUGGUGGAUGGAUCUUUUGAGCGGAUAAUGCAAGGCGGCCAGAAAAGUUAGGUGGAAAUGUGGAAAAUGGUGGAUCAGAGGGUGCAAUUAUUUACUGGUUGUCUUCUUAUACACUAAUAAUCCGUUUUAAGGUGGCAUCCACGGAGAUGUUUAGUAAAUUAUUUGGUAUUACAACCAAAUCUUUCCUUUUCGACGUCACAAGUCACACCCACCUUGCAACUUGCACGGGGAUUAAUUGGCUGAAAUUGACUUCGGCUCCUCCUAUGGGACAUGUUUGUGGUUGUAUCACAAGUUGUAUGGUGGACGUGCGUCCUUACUCUUUUUGCUGGAUGGAAGAUCCAGGGCUUGUACCUUAAGAAGGGUAAGAGGGCUAAUGAAUACAAGGUGCAGGAGUUUCAGUUGAAUUCCGUUUCUGAUGACUAACCAAACAAACAUAGCCGAAGGGACAUGAUAUCUAGGUGGUAGUAAGACUUAAUUCUCUGUAAGGAGCUCGACAGUGGUAAAGAGCAGGUGCUCUAAUGAAGUCUGUGCUGUGUUUCAGUCUAAAUAUGUACCUCCUGCUCGAGUAAGAUUGAAUGGGCUGCGAUAUGCUGUUGUGCAAGACUUUGUAAUACAAAAUCUUGAAUGUGCUGCGAUAUGCUGUUGCCCAUCAUGAUGGUUGUGUGCAGCAAUUGAAAUGGAAGCUUGAUUAAUUUGGCAUAUGGAACCGACGAAAAGUUAGGUCUUAGGUCAUAGGAAGUGGAAGUGUUGUUAUGCAUGUGAUCAUGUGCAUGACAUGGUCCAUGCUCUCAGCCUGUGGUGGGAAAGAAUCCGAGUAGGGUGGAAUAAAGGGAAAUAUGGUUGGAUGUGGUAGGUGAUGGGACUGCUUAUUAAUGAACAAAUUGAAUUGUAAAUGGCAUGGAUGGUCUCAAAGCAAUGUGAUGAUGUAGUGUUUCUUUUUCUUCCUUGAUCAAUAGCAAUUGUAUCAUGACAUGGGGCUUCUUUUUGCAGCUUGCUUGGUGCAAUGUCUCUGUCCCCCUCUUUAUACUCCUUGAUGCUGUACUGUACUCCAGCCUAUUGACUGCUACAGUUUUAUUUCUUGUGCAAGCUUUCCUGCAUUUAUUGCAUUACUUGGAUGAAGAAUGUUGACAGCAAAAAGAUUUUCUCGAUGCAUAAUGUGUAGGUGCUGGAGGAAGAGAGGCGUUUCGGUUUCGCAGGAAGUCUGCAUCAUUCGCAUAUGAGAAAUCCAGCAGUGUUGGACCCAGGAGCCCUCCUCCUCCUUACGACCUGUGAGAUAUGAUGAGGCUUGGCAUUUUCCAUGUUGAGCGGCGGCUAAAGUAGUCGGAUUUUCGUCUUCUUCUCAGCUUUGUCAUGGGGAAAUCUUUUAGAUGAAUAGCACUGAGUGUGAAAAAGUUUGGUGGCGUGCAAUCAAAAAAUUAAUCUUGUAAAUAUGGGUUAUGGUAGUGUCUGCUGUCUCGGUCGCGGUGUAUGGAGGGCUGGUCAUGCAGACUUUUGUAAAAGCUCAGUUUGAAGUUUGUAAUGUGUCCUGGUCUCUGUAUGCAGAGCUCAGAGUGGUUUGGUUUCUCCCAAAACUGCUAAGUUUCUUC
rnacentral:lncRNA from 1 species